ensembl:lincRNA
CAGCACUUCACAGGAAAGGUCUAGUCAUUAUUACAAAGGCAAAAGAACAGGGAAGUGGAUCUUUGUUUCUCUUUUACAAAUCAGGAUUGAAGAAAUGUCCCUGGUUCUUUAAGAUGGUGUUACCCUCAUAUGGGGGCCCUAGAGGAUGCUGUAUAUCACAGAAAACCCACUAUACUGAUGACCCUUAGAGAAGAAAUUGAAAAUGCAUGCACAGCAAUCUCAAAGGACCAAGGCUACACAAGAAGUAAUUUACCAUACUAAUAAAUGUCUGGAAGCUGAGCCCUCUUAUAAUUGUAGAGGUCAAAGUGUCCCCCUCUGCACAACGAGGGAGUUGUACUCAUGGCAGAGGAAGCCCCACUGGGUUUGAAGAAUCCAAAUAUCAUCUGCACGAAGAAUCUCCAGCUUGGCAAACUGAAGAUGGGCUGGUGCGCGUGGUGCCAGCCAAGUUACACACGCUUUGGCGCACACUAUAUCUGACAGCCACGCUGAAGCAAGAGAGCUGAAAACAGAAAGUGCAGCUCCACCUUGGGAGGAGCCUCUGAAGGACCUGGUAGAACAGCCCUUGCCUGGGCGUUGUUGAGUAGCAGCUGGUUGGGUCUGUGAGUGUCUCGCAGCUGUUUGUGAUAUGUCAAGUGAAUUUCUGUUUUUAUGUGUUAAUGUACUCUGAGUUAUUUUACAGUGUGUUUGACAUUUUACAGUAUAGUAAAGUGUAUGCAUGCUUAAUUAAAACAGAUGUGUGUUUGAUAAAAUAAUUACUGGAUAUGCUGAAGAAAAAUGGCUAAUUAUAUAUAUAUAGCACAAACAUCCAAACAUAUGCUAUAAAUAUAUACUUAAGAAGUACUGGAAAUCAGGUAUAAUUGGCAGCAUUCUCUUUUUGUGUCUAUAUUUAGAGUCAUUUUCUACAUAUUCCUGGCCCUGGGAUCCACUAGAAUUGGAAUGUUCUGCUUAAUUUUUUAUUUCUCCUAUGUUACUCUUUUUUUAUCUCCUGGAAUGAAGAUGAGAAGUUCUCUCUCCACUGAAAUGAGGUGGCAUUAAUGCAACAAAAACAUUAAAAAAUAC